AAAGUCGUAACAAGGUAACCGUAGGUGAACCUGCGGUUGGAUCAUUAAUAAAUUAGUGUUUGACACUUGCGAUUGACUCUUCGGAGUCGAUUAUACACCCUGUGAAAUGUUUAGUGCGUAUAUUAAUUUAUACCAUUAUAAAUCUACUCUAUAUUGUCUGAAUUAAGAAUCUAAAAAUUAAAAAACAACUUUUAACAACGGAUCUCUUGGCUCUC
rnacentral:misc_RNA from 1 species